rnacentral:rRNA from 1 species
CCUACGGGAGGCAGCAGUGGGGAAUAUUGCACAAUGGGGGAAACCCUGAUGCAGCGACGCCGCGUGAGUGAAGAAGUAAUUCGUUAUGUAAAGCUCUAUCAGCAGGGAAGAAAAUGACGGUACCUGUAUAAGCAGCCCCGGCUAACUCCGUGCCAGCAGCCGCGGUAAUACGGAGGGGGCGAGCGUUGUUCGGAGUGACUGGGCGUAAAGAGCACGUAGGCGGCAGUGCAAGUCUGGAGUGAAAGGCGGGGGCUCAACCCCCGGACUGCUCUGGAAACUGUACGGCUGGAGUGCAGGAGAGGUAAGUGGAAUUCCUAGUGUAGCGGUGAAAUGCGUAGAUAUUAGGAGGAACACCAGUGGCGAAGGCGGCUUACUGGACUGUAACUGACGUUGAGGCUCGAAAGCGUGGGGAGCAAACAGGAUUAGAUACCCCUGUAGUC